rnacentral:rRNA from 1 species
UACGUAGGCAGCGAGCGUUGUUCGGAGUUACUGGGCGUAAAGGGUGCGUAGGCGGUCGGGUAAGUCUGACGUGAAAUCUCCAAGCUCAACUUGGAAAUGGCGUCGGAUACUAUUCGGCUCGAGGAAUGGAGGGGAGACUGGAAUUCUCGGUGUAGCAGUGAAAUGCGUAGAUAUCGAGAGGAACACCAGUGGCGAAGGCGAGUCUCUGGACAUUUCCUGACGCUGAGGCACGAAAGCCAGGGGAGCAAACGGG